rfam:Eubacterium infirmum F0142 genomic scaffold supercont1.1, whole genome shotgun sequence.
AGGGAAGAUCAGACGGUCGCGUGCCAUUGGCAUGAGGAAAGUCCGGGCUCCAUAGGGCAAGAAUGCCGGAUAACGUCCGGCGUAGGUAACUAUAGGGAAAGUGCAACAGAAACAUUCCGCCGAAACAGUUAGGCUGUGGUAAGGUUGAAAUGGUGAGGUAAGAGCUCACCGGAGUCAUGGAGACAUGGCUGCCGUGUAAACCCCAUUCGGAGCAAGGUCGAAAUUGAGCACCAAAUGCAGCGGCCCGUUGCAGCUCAGGAGGUGGACCGCAUGAGCGUGCAGUAAUGUUACGCCUUAGAUAGAUGAUCGUCUAAUACAGAACCCGGCUUAUAGAUCUGCCCCUUAG